rnacentral:rRNA from 1 species
UACGGAGGGUGCGAGCGUUGUCCGGAAUCACUGGGCGUAAAGGGCGCGUAGGCGGCUCGUUAAGUAGGGGGUGAAAUCCUGCGGCUUAACCGCAGGGCUGCCUUCUAAACUGUCGAGCUCGAGCACGGUAGAGGCAGAUGGAAUUCCCGGUGUAGCGGUGGAAUGCGUAGAGAUCGGGAAGAACAUCAGUGGCGAAGGCGGUCUGCUGGGCCGUUGCUGACGCUGAGGCGCGACAGCGUGGGGAGCAAACAGG